GAUGAACGCUGGCGGCGUGCCUAAUACAUGCAAGUCGAACGGUCCUUCGGGAUAGUGGCGGACGGGUGAGUAACACGUGGGAACGUACCCUUAGGUUCGGAACAACACAGGGAAACUUGUGCUAAUACCGGAUAAGCCCUUCGGGGGAAAGAUUUAUCGCCUUUGGAGCGGCCCGCGUCUGAUUAGCUUGUUGGUGAGGUAAUGGCUCACCAAGGCUACGAUCAGUAGCUGGUCUGAGAGGAUGGCCAGCCACACUGGGACUGAGACACGGCCCAGACUCCUACGGGAGGCAGCAGUGGGGAAUCUUGCGCAAUGGGCGAAAGCCUGACGCAGCCAUGCCGCGCGGAUGAUGAAGGUCUUAGGAUUGUAAAAUCCUUUCACCGGGGACGAUAAUGACGGUACCCGGAGAAGAAGCCCCGGCUAACUUCGUGCCAGCCGCCGCCGUAA
rnacentral:rRNA from 1 species